AAUCCACUUAUUUAAAAAAACUUCUAAACUUUUAUCCAAAAAUGAUUUUUUUUGCAAAUUGAUUAAAACUAUUUUUGACUAUUUAAAAACAGAAAAGUCACAGUGUGCGCUAAACAUUAUUGACAGCCAAUUUUACUCUCUCGCCUCUAUCACUACUAUCGCAACGUAAACAAAUUUCUUUUUCAACCGGACAAGUGAGGACUGGUGUGACAAAAGUGUUGUUUAGCGGAAAAUUAGUGGUGCCGGGAACCAAAUAACAGUGUCUAAUUGUGUUGUAUAGCAAUAGCUAUGUCCUGUUUUGUUUUUAGGCCAGGCUGGCCAGACAGUCUAGGUCUCGGUCUAGGCUAUAAUCAUCGCAAAAAAUGCCAAAUCACCAGAAAAGGCACUGUCCACCGAACGGAACCUGGAGAUAAUUUUAUGUUUCGGGAUUUGUAGCUGACGGAAAAUUAUGCUGCGGUCAAGGGUACAGUGUCUACAUGCCUACGAUGCGCACCACGAUAAGAGGCUACCGAGGAAGCUACAGUUUGCUACAGUACCUUGACGUACCUUUAGUGCUGCUUUAAAAUUGCAUUGUCUUAACUAAAAAUGCUGGAAAAAAAGGAUCUCGAAGAAUAAAAAAAUAAAAACUUUUA